rnacentral:rRNA from 1 species
UGAGGAAUAUUGGUCAAUGGGCGAGAGCCUGAACCAGCCAAGUAGCGUGCAGGACGACGGCCCUAUGGGUUGUAAACUGCUUUUGUAUGGGGAUAAAGUCAAUCACGUGUGAUUGUUUGCAGGUACCAUACGAAUAAGGACCGGCUAAUUCCGUGCCAGCAGCCGCGGUAAUACGGAAGGUUCGGGCGUUAUCCGGAUUUAUUGGGUUUAAAGGGAGCGUAGGCCGGAGAUUAAGUGUGUUGUGAAAUGUAGACGCUCAACGUCUGACUUGCAGCGCAUACUGGUUUCCUUGAGUACGCACAACGUUGGCGGAAUUCGUCGUGUAGCGGUGAAAUGCUUAGAUAUGACGAAGAACUCCGAUUGCGAAGGCAGCUGACGGGAGCGCCACUGACGCUUAAGCUCGAAGGUGCGGGUAUCGAACAGGAUUAGAUACCCAGGUAGUCCGCACAGUAAACGAUGGAUGCCCGCUGUUGGUACCUGGUAUCAGCGGCUAAGCGAAAGCAUUAAGCAUCCCACCUGGGGAGUACGCCGGCAACGGUG